CCUACGGGUGGCAGCAGUGGGGGAUAUUGCACAAUGGGGGAAACCCUGAUGCAGCGACGCCGCGUGUGGGAAGACGGUCCUCUGGAUUGUAAACCACUGUUCCCAGGGACGAAGAGGACGGUACCUGGGGUGGAAGCUCCGGCUAACUACGUGCCAGCAGCCGCGGUAAUACGCAGGGAGCGAGCGUUGUCCGGAAUUACUGGGUGUAAAGGGAGCGUAGGCGGGGAUGCAAGUUGGGUGUCAAAACUACCGGCUCAACUGGGAGUCGCACUCAAAACUGGAGCUCUUGAGUGAAGUAGAGGCAGGCGGAAUUCGUGGUGUAGCGGUGAAAUGCGUAGAUAUUAGGAGGAACACCGGUGGCGAAGGCGGCCUGCUGGGCUUUUACUGACGCUGAGGCUCGAAAGCAUGGGUAGCGAACAGGAUUAGAUACCCUUGUAGUC
rnacentral:rRNA from 1 species